AGAGUUUGAUCCUGGCUCAGAUUGAACGCUGGCGGAAUGCUUUACACAUGCAAGUCGAACGGCAGCACGGGAGCUUGCUCCUGGUGGCGAGUGGCGAACGGGUGAGUAAUACAUAGGAACAUACCCAGUAAUGGGGGAUAACGCCGAGAAAUCGGUGCUAAUACCGCAUACGCCCUACGGGGGAAAGCGGGGGAUCUUCGGACCUCGCGUUAUUGGAUUGGCCUAUGUCUGAUUAGCUAGUUGGUGAGGUAAAGGCUCACCAAGGCGACGAUCAGUAGCUGGUCUGAGAGGAUGAUCAGCCACACUGGAACUGAGACACGGUCCAGACUCCUACGGGAGGCAGCAGUGGGGAAUUUUGGACAAUGGGCGAAAGCCUGAUCCAGCCAUUCCGCGUGUGUGAAGAAGGCCUUCGGG
rnacentral:rRNA from 1 species